AACUCAUGAGUUUUGGCUUUUCUGCCCUGUGUAGUAUCAAGUAUUAUUUUUAUUCCAAAGAUGGAGCAUCUCUCACAAGCCUGAGUGAGUUGUUUUGAGUUAUUCUGCUGCUCUUACCCUGGUAAUUUUUCUCCUUUAACUCUGUGUGAAGAGCUGCUUCCCCUGGAACAAAGGAGUCACGUUGGCUUUACUCAUCAAAAAUUGCAUAUGUAUAAAAUCUCAGUGUUGUCCUCAGCCUGAAAUCCCUCCCCACGUAGGACUUGUACCACACACUGGAACCCAUUGCCUGCAGCCUGGCAACCGCCUCCGUUGCCAUGGGAACGGCUCCACUAUCCUUCCAUGGAGAACCUCAAGAAUUCCCAUUUUCGGAGCUUUUAGAACACCUCCAGUCCUGGCUCGUUUCAUUCACUUGCUCACUCCCAUCCAUGAGAUCUUCCCCUCCCAGUUUAGAGAGUUACUCAGCACUUCUGGGACUCCUGAGGAGUUGGCUGAAGGGAAGUCACACAGCACUUUGAGGCACAGCUUUAUCUGGGAUGUUGGUGCUGCCCUUGGGUUUAUUUCCUGGGCAGAUGUAUCAUGUAAUUAGCAUUGAAUGUGUAUUAGAUUUGUACUUCACAGAGAACUAGAAACUGUCUGACUUCUGCACACUUUUCUGCACUCGCAAAGGGCAGAAGUGUCUGAGCACUCCGACCUCGAGUGUUAAACCCCCAAGUGAUGUAACCUGGGUUGGGGGAGAAGCAGCUUCCUGGUGCUCCCCCCGAGCCGCAGGAGCUGCUCCCCCCCGGCUGCUCCCGAGCCAAUGUCACCUGUACCCAAUGAAGCAGACCCCGAGGUGCCACGCAUGGAUCCCAGGAUUCUUAUUUUCCUUCUCUACGUGAUGAUCCUUCACGAGCUGGUGAGUGGCUGGAUGGAGUACCAGAAGCAGAUGGCCAAGCCAAAGAAGCAGGCGGGUCCAGUUUGGUCCUCGAGCAAUGCCACCAGAUCCAGCCCCUCCAGCUUCUCCAGGCCCCUGGUCCACUCUGUGCGCAGGGAGAGGUACAGGGACUGGAGGAAACCGGGAAGGAUCAUCCGGAAGGCGUGAGGAGGGAUCUGUUGGGAGCGUGGGGAGAGGUGGCUGAGCCAGAGGAGCCACCCCUCAGGGUCUGCACCACCUCACCAGCCCACACAGGAGCAUCCCCCAGGCACUGCAACCUGCAGCUUUCCUCACUGAGAACACACAACUGAGGAGGAAUGAGCCCCUUCCUCCUGGGAAUUCGUCCCUGCAGGGUGAGGAGCUGCACUGGAGACUCCUCAGCCAGCAGCAGGAUCACUCCAGCUGGCACCUUGGCCACCCAACACAGUGAAGUGACUUCUCUGCUUCCCAAAGGGUUGAGUGGAUGGAGAGCAGAUUUCCUGGGGGGAAGAGUGAAAUUUGCUCCUGCAGGGGCAGCCCUGGGAGGCCUCCAAAUGGUUUCAGGCUCCUCUUCCCCUGCUCCAGGACUGCGUGGCCAGUAAGCCUCACUUCCCAAACUGACUGGAAAAUCCCUGGUGUCCAGUUUGUCACUACUCCCAGGAGAACUCACCUCUACUGGGACACACAGAACUCAUGGCACUUUGGGAAUGCUGGCUCCCCAUUAAGUCUCAUGCACUGAGAAUCCCUAAAUUCUUUUCUGCUUUCCUUCACGCUUGUUAAAUGAGUUACUCUGGGCUGGAAGGGGGAAAACGCCCUGAACCAGUGACUCAGAGUUAUGCCACCAAAUGCAAUUUACUGCAAUGACCUUGUAAUUAGCUUUCCUUGGAGCAUUCCCAGCAGUUGAGCCAAAUAAAUGUAAGAGCCACUUUCUAAUGAGCAGAUAGAUGGGGAAGGAAUACAGUAUUGCUCUUUUUGAGCCUGCAGUUCAGGCAUAAAAUUAAAUUUUAGAGGCAGAAGUCUGCUGUUGCAUCCUGUACCUCACAUAGGCAGGAUGGGAAUCUUGGAGCACUGGAGGGAUUCUGACACUGGGCUCUCACAGCAGCUGUCCAUGGCAAAACUGCUCCUUAUUUGCUGAACAUAAUGUUUGGCUCAAACACAGCCUGUUUUUCUCGUUGCCAACCAUUUAUAAACCUGACUCAGGCUCACAGACGCAUUAUCCAGGAGCAGAUAGGGAAGGGAGUCGGGAUAGAUUAUGCAUUCAUUAUCCAGAAGUAGCCACCAGAUACAUUUGCACAUUUGUCUGCUGCUCAGUUGUUUGCAAAUUGUUCCUGUUGGUUGACACUGUGUUUGUUCAGUCACCCAGGGCUGGAGUCACCUGAGCUCAGCACCCAGACCCAGGUGCUGCAAAGAGGGGAAUGGGAAGGGGUGUGAAGUGACUCCUCUGAAGUUAAACCUCACAAGGAAGCUGCCUGAACUGUGCUCUUGAAGUUCCCAAUCCUCUAUCCCAAGUAGGAUAAGUAACUCUACUUUCACAUGGGGGAGAUAAAUUUUCUACCUUGAAGUUGAUGCCUCGUGUUCAGGUGUGUUUGAAAAAGGAGAAAGAAGUGGCAGUUAAUGUUUUCUGCACAUUUCAAAGCAUAAACUCCCCGCAAAGUUGUGCCUCAGCCCUGUGACACUGUGACACUGUGGCUGUCCCUGAGGCCUCCAUGGCCUGUCCUGAUCCCUGCAGGUGCAGCCAGAGGUGACAGCAACAGAGGGAGAAGGUGGCAGGAGGAAAAACAUUCAGAAAGUGUUUCUAGGGGCUGGGGGACUUUGCUUCCCUGGAGUUGAGUGUGAGGGUGGAUGCGCAGCUGGAUAUUCUCCCUGCUCUUCUGCCAGAGCCUGUGUGAGUUUGCUGGGAGCACUUCCUGUGGAAAAAGGGUUUAAAUUAAUUACCCCAGUGGGACAGGAUAGGACUGACCUCACUGACACACUGGGCUCCUCUGUCCUCAGUGGGACAGACAGACCCGAGUGGGGACAGAAGGACCUGACUGGGCAGAUCCUUAAGGAAGGGUGAAGGGCCAGGACUGCUGUGCUCUGCUGAUCACAUGCUGGGUUUAUCCCUGUAAAUAUCAUGUUUCCUUCCAAUAAACUCUU